AAAAGGGAAUUCUUCCGGGGAAUGAAUGGGGUUUGGUGCUUGGAACCAGCCGGGUCAGCAGGAAGGGCAGCCCUCCAGGCCCUGCCCAGCCCACGGAUGGGGGCGCUCAUUAUGCAGAUUGGACUUGGCCUCUGCCUGUGACCAUAGAAACCCAACCAGUUCUCUUUCAACCGUGCUCUGCGGAAGGGUUAUUUAACUCUGGCGCCCGAGGACCAGCCGCGCAGACCCUCCUCUUCUCGGAACACCCAGGGCACUCGGCCCUCAGCAUCCGGCUGAGAUGGGAUGCCACUCCAGCAAGAGCACCCAGGUGGCGGGGGAGUCUCAGAAGCCUGGAGAACAGCCCGCGGGAGAAGAGCCAGAUCUGGAGGCUGGCACUGAGGCAGCAGAUGGCAAAGACGCCUCCUUACAGGAUGGCGUCCCUGAGCCGAAGAGCUGAGAGGCUUUCCUCUGGAGUCAGACCCUCGCCUCAUUCCUGGAACUGCCUUUGGCCAAGGAGACAUGAGACAAGCCCCAUCCUGAGAAGCUCCGAAUAGAGGGAGGAGAGAGAAAUCCCCCCUUUGGGAUUCAGGCUUCCGAAGCUACCUUCAUCAGGCUUUGCUCAUUGGAGUGUCCAGGAAGGUGAGGCCGUGAGGAAUCCUAUUUACCCAGCUCUCCUGUAGAGAGGACAAAAGAAGUCAUCACACAUUGUGGGCCUUUCCCACAGCUUCUGGAAAUGGAAGAGCCCCAUGGCAGACUGUUCUGGCUUUCCUGAAUACCUGCAGCUGAGCUGUGACUGUCCAGUGACCCCCACCUGCCUCUCUCUGAACCCUGAAAGCUCUGUGGCCAUGGUGUUGAUUGGGGUGUGAGGCUCUCAGCUCUCUCUCUCUCCUUUUUUUCAAUAGCUGGCUGAAUAGCCAACGUCCCUAACAGGAAGAUUUUGCGUUUGGCUCACUCCACACUGUUUGUAUGAAUAAUUUAAUAUUUAACUUGGAGAAUUGUUAAUGAAUUAUGGGAACAAUCAGGAUCAGACUGUGGUCAUGUAGAUGGAAGGCAACAAGGCCUUGAUCAUCCAGAGUGUGAUGACCCUGGGCAGAGAGUCUAUGCUGCUAGCCAUCAUAAAGAACAACUGAAAGAUCAGAGUAUACGGCAUUGCUCCAGUCUUUGCUGCAUAUCCCAUAUAACAAAAGACUAUCAGGAACUAAGACCAGAUGGAUGCCCCCACCCAGAUACCAGCCCUAUACAUAACUGGCCUGUAGUCUUUGUUCUGGAAGAUGGUUCUUUCAGACAUGAGUCGGCCAUUUUCCCCCUUGCUAGCAAGCUGUAAUAAAAAGUCCUUUCUUUCCUACCGCUGUAAGUGAGCAUAAGCAAAGCCAUCUUGUUACACUAAAUGGCCCCAGCCCCUCCUCUGUGUGACUACUCGCUGCUCUGCACGUACUCCAAAAAAUUCACAUGCUCUCCUGAUUUAUGGCCUCCACUUACGUAUGUACGCCCCAAUAACUUGAUAAAUUAAAACUUUGUUCUAUGAGUUUUU